CAAUAAAGUACUAAUAUACUAUAUGUAAUUGUUAACUAUAUAAUUAUAUUAAUGUCAGAUUUAGUCUGUUUCUCUGACCUUCAGUCCUGCAUGACCAGGAGGGCCUGGUGAACCUGGCCGACCGAAAUCACCAACAGUUGUAACACCAGCGAUACCUGGCUGCCCCAUGUCACCUGCACAAAAAACACACACACACACACACACGAUUGCCAAGUUAACUAUACUUUUAGCUGCUCCCCAUUUGCUUAAGAAUGUGUUAACUUCCAGAAAUUGAUUAUGUUAUCUAUGCGGCUUUUCUGCGUGUGCUCAACAGCACAUAGAUUACCUUUCUGUCCUCGGAUCCCUGGCCUUCCAGGAAACGACACCUCACCGUUCUCUCCUUUCUGUCCUUGAAAACCUGUUAGUCCUGGGCUACCUGGCGCUCCGUGGUUACCUGGAUGUUUGUUAGAUUCCGGGUGAACCAGGCAAACCUUUAAGUCCAGGAGGUCCUAUGGUGUGGAUAUGUGUGGAUUCGCCUUUCUGGCCUACCAAUGAAGAAAUAAGUAAAGAAAGGACACCCAAUGGCUUUCAGUCUUUCUGUCUAUCUACUUGUGUUCAUGUAUAAAUGUCUGAUAUAUUGUUUAUAGGUGUCUCUUUACCUGGAGAUCCAGCGUGUCCUGGCAGGCCAGUUACACCAGCAUCUCCCGGACCUCCUGGAGGUCCAGGAGGCCCGUAUCCCACUGACCCAGCAUAGCCAACCGGUCCUGGUAUACCUAAAGAACCUGGUGGACCCUGGUAACCACGUUCUCCCUCUGCACCAUGGAAGGGAUACUGGAGAGAAGACGGAGAACUUAUUACAACAAUUACUUAAACCAUAAAUUAUAUUGCAUGGGCCUUUGCUAUGAAUUCAGAAGGUUGAAACAUUAACAUUAACAUGACAAAAUGGCAAAACAAAUGGCAUGUUAAAUUGAAACCUGACAAAACCUUCUCACCGAAUCCCCUGGGGGACCUUGCUCGCCUUUUCGUCCUGGUUGUCCAGGAAACCCAGGGAGUGCACCUGCACCAGGUCUGCCAGGGUGUCCCAGGUCUCCUUUCUCUCCCUUUAUCCCAGGAGUGUUGUAGGAAUAUGAGUCUCCUUUUUGUCCUUGAGGGCCUGGAAAUCCCAUUCGACCUAUAGGACCCUUCAGAGGAGAAUUAUUGUUCAAAAAUGUUUGUAAAAAAUAAGGAUUUGUUUUAAGACAUGCAUUCUUACUUGUACUCCUAAGCCAUCAGGCCCUGGGAAACCUGGAUCACCUUUAGCACCUGGUCCUUGGUUAUAUCCUGAGCCACAGACGUAUAAAGAAUGUCUAUUUCAGUUUCAAACAUUCAUACUCUGUUCAUCUUAUCUACACUGUAGUAUGUCCAAAACUUUUACUAAAAAAUGCACUCCAAUGUU